UAAUCAUAAGAAGAGGUGAGCAAUUGGCUCAACUUACUCCAGGAAUGUUGGCUCACAUUACCCACUCCUACCCAAUUUAACAAACUUGUAUCAUCCAGCAGUUUAGGGCUAACAUCUUGCUAACAGUACAGCCUUAUAUUAUAACACAUUAUAUAAGUUAUAAUAUAACUUAUAUUAUAACCCCCCCUUUCUGCACCCAGAGGUAAAAAAAUACCAAAAUACAGAUAAGACAGAAAUAGAAAAGAUUUAAUGUAUUUGUUUUAUUACAGCUAAACCGCUCUCUACAUAAACAAGUAACAUUCAUUAAGUAAACAAUGUAUCCCAAUUCAAAUAAUAAAUAAUUCAUAUAAUAUUUUGUACAAACUGGUAUUGGUUUCCUGUACAUAAUGGUUUCUCUCAUAGCGUACCAUACAGUAAAAGAAGAACUUAAGGCAGAGAGUUCAUACUUGCCAGUUACUGGUACAGCUUUAACAGACUGACUGUCUAGUGGUAUAUUUCAAGGACGUAGCAGAUCAGUGGGCACAUGAAAUGUAUGAUUUCAGUGCAAAGUCAAAUGGGAUAUUUGUGCAGAAUGCCGGCGGUCUCAAUUUUGUGUGCUAUCAUGUAACUCAGUGCAAAGGUAAAAUAUAUAAAUUAAACAAGCAUGGGUUCAUCAAUCCAAUUGUUAAUUUGCAACACUGAAGACAAAAAUCACUCUUGUAGAAAGGUUUGUGGACUCUUUUGUGUACUGGCUGACAUCAAGAGAUUAAAAGUGUGCUAACAUUCAUCCAGGCCCAACAUUAGCUGUUCCACAACCCUUUUUUUAAUGCACAAGAAUCAAUGACAAAUCAAAAACAAUAAAGCCAGAGGAUGUGCACACACAGCUGGCUUUUAUCCUUUAAACGGUUUCAUUUCAACCAAAGUUGAAUGUGACACAGCAAGUAUGAUUGUGGAAUUAAUGCCUCAGAUGUCUCAUAUAGUACAAAUAUGAGAGAAAGAGAGACAAGGACACGUAAUUAGCUACUUGUACAAUGCAAAGCAAGUGUUAAGAGCUCUUGAAAUAAUUACAAAAUGCAUGAAAGUAACGCAUGAUCAAACAUAGUAAAAAUAUAAUAUAUAGAUAAAAUAAAUAAAUUCAAUUUUAAACAGACGAAAACAGACAGCACAGAUUAUGUUGCAAUAAGGUCACCCUCCAAGCACACUUUGAAAAUCUAUAAAGCUAAAUCUCAAUUGUAGCCCACCUGAAGCCCAAACCACACAGACCUCGAGAAAAUGACAUUUCAUACAUGGCGUUCUCGACAUUUAAAAUGGAAUAACGCCAUUCACUGAAGGAAGUGGCAAGUGCGUUUAGCCAUUUUUAAACAAAGCUGUCAAUUAGCAUUCAAUAGCUGGAAUCUUGGGACCAAAUUUGGAUCUGAAGGUCUGCUGGCGUGGGAUAUUACACUUGUGUAAGAUUCCUGUCUUGAGGAAAUAAUUAUUGUCUGCACUACGGCUACUGCAACAUCACUCUGGUUAUUUUUCUGUCAUAUCUGCAGCAAACUAAAUGAGGUAUGCUAUAGUGUCUGAUACCCUCAGCGCUGUUUUUGCGAACCACACCUCAUCUUUUGAGGUUUAGUUCAGACAAACAACAUCAAA